ACCUGGAGGGACGAAUGAGCAGGCAGGGAGGGAGGGCUCCCUUCUGUGAGGCAGGUACCGGAAUCCCUAUUUUCGUGGCCUCUUAGAGAAGCGACUCAUCCACCGGCUCCCACUUCUAAGCUCUAAACCCUACAGGCUGAAUUAAGUUUCUCAUGCACUCAGUCCCCACAGGUGGGACUUAACGUUUAGCCCCAAUCCUCAGGAGACUCUGAAAGGGCUCACACACUUGUCCAGAUCAUCCAGCUGAGCAGCUAAGGGGAGGUCUGAACGCAGAGCCUUUGCCCUAACUUCUAAAAUAUGCGAACUUCUAGAAUACAGCCAGCUGCUCAGUGGAAGGGACAGAGCCAGGAUCCUAAUUCAGCUCCUGUUUUCCCGGCCAGACACCCACAGUGUGCCUGCCUUGGGUCAGGGCAUCUCCUGGGGCUCCAUGCCCCAAGGGGACGUCUGGGGGUGACCCAUUCCCAGGCAGGCUUCCAGAAGACCUAACCCAGUACAGUGUGGACCAUGAAGCGGCCGGACCCACAAAGGACCCAUUGUGGUAGCUGCAGAAAGCCAAGGUCCUCCCGAUGUAGAAAUGAACAUGACACACCACCGUCUGCAUCAAGCAGGAAGGAGGAUGGGCUGAGACUGGCUGAGCAUCAAACCAACUUUGACUCUGAGGAGGAAGCAGGAAAGGGCGACCUGGGCGACUUGGUCUGAUUCCUGAGCCACUGAACUUCAGCAGACCCUAGAUAGGGCUUCCUAUGUGGCGUAAACUCCAGAAAUCCUCACCGAGCCCCAGGAAAUGCUUACGUGUUACGGACACAGAUGUCGCUGUACCCUCCUCUCCAGCAGAGACACCCACCCACCCCUCAUAUUUAGUCAUCAAAAGACCAAUGCUCUUUCUGCCCUGCGCCCCAUCAUACAUUCAGCAAAAAUGAAUCUGACCUAAAUCAGAGUUAUUAAAACAGAAUUCGCUUCUCUGAAACUUUUUGUUUUUCAUGAACUAAUUAUUUAACUAAAGCAAUAGUCGUUCUUUAAUUUAAAAUGCAACAUUAAAAAAGAUAUUCAAACUGGGAAAAGAGUCCACAAUGGAGGGUGACGUCUCUGUUGUCCCCCUCUCCCUGCCCCCCUCCCCAGCACAGGUGACCACCUCUGAAGGUUUUCUCCACUGGACUGGGCUUGUUGGUGGGUCAGGGGUGACUCCGGCCUUUCUUUGGGGAGGCAAUGGAGGCGGGCUUCGCUGGGCUUUCCCAGCCAGCAAGUGGAGGCUGGAAUGGAGAAGUGAGAGGGGGCGUUUCCCAAGGAGCUGACUGUGCACCAGAAGGCUAGAGGGACGGCAGUGUCCUCAGGGGCCCUGCUGAGGACUGAGUUCAGUCCCUCGGGAGCCUCCAAGGGAGACC